CUUUAACUAUUGUUAGACCCCCGAAAACUCAAGUAUCCGGGGUCUCAGGCCAGGUUCGCGGUCACCCCAAUCACCAGGCGGAUUCGAGAGCUUGCUGCAAACUGCACGAGGCUUUAUUGUAAUUUAACGAACUAACCCCAUGUUAGCUCGGGUCUUUCACCCACCCGCCAUGGCGGACGGCUAGAAAAGACGGCUCCUAAGGUCUCCCCAAAGAUCUUAUAGGGCAGCGUAAGGGGAGUGUCUAGGGGUACGCACAGGCUUACGCACAGGCUCAUGAUUGGUGUGCCUCCAGGCUUGGAGGGCUUGCCCUGUGUUGAUUGGUCAACUGGUUGUUAUGGCUCAUAGGCUUACGCACAGGCUCAUGAUUGGUGUGCCUCCAGGCUUGGAGGGCUUGCCCUGUGUUGAUUGGUCAACUGGUUGUUAUGGCUCAUAGGCCCUCCCAGGGUGGUUGCUAUGCUCUCUACGUCAUUGCUGUGCGCUUGUCCGUAAAGCACACCCAGGGUCGUAAAGCAUAGCGCCACCAGCUAACUUCUGAUUGGUUCCUUGUCACAAGACAGGCAUCUGACCUCUACGUGACCAAGGCAGGUUUAUGGCAAGCACGUGUUCGGCU
rnacentral:lncRNA from 1 species